CCAGGAAUUCCGCAGAAUUGGCAAGAGAACUGCAAAUUUUAAGCUCUAUUUGCCAAACUGAGUUGGAUAAUUUUGCCCUAAAAUGUGGUGUUUGUUCUUUGCUAUUCUUUGCUUAAGCUUCAAUAUCUUUUACUUAAGUAGCCUUAUUUUACUAGCAAGAUGACUCAACAAGAAAUAAUACAAUUAUAAUAAUUUGAGGCUUCAUUAUAAACCAAUUUCACCAUAACCAAAAAUGUAUGACGUGAAAUAAGUAUUGCCUUAUAUAUAC